rnacentral:rRNA from 1 species
CGUGCAGGCGGCUCGCUAAGUCUGAUGUGAAAGCCCUGGGCUCAACCCGGGAAGUGCAUUGGAAACUGGCGAACUUGAGUACGGGAGAGGGAAGUGGAAUUCCGAGUGUAGGGGUGAAAUCCGUAGAUAUUCGGAGGAACACCAGUGGCGAAGGCGGCUUCCUGGACCGAUACUGACGCUGAGACGCGAAAGCGUGGGGAGCAAACA